GCGGCUGUAGCUCAGUGGAUAGAGUAGCUGACUACGAAUCAGCUGGUCACAAGUUCGAAUCUUGUCAGCCGCACCA
rnacentral:tRNA from 1 species